rnacentral:rRNA from 1 species
UCGAGGGGUAACAUUGUAGCUUGCUACAGAUGACGACCGGCGCACGGGUGAGUAACGCGUAUGCAACCUGCCUUUGACAGGGGGAUAGCCCGGAGAAAUCCGGAAUAUCCCAUGGUAUUUACGAAUCGCAUGGUUUGUAAAUUAAAGAUUUUAUCGGUCAAAGAUGGGCAUGCGUGACAUUAGCUAGUUGGUAAGGUAACGGCUUACCAAGGCUGCGAUGUCUAGGGGUUCUGAGAGGAUGAUCCCCCACACUGGUACUGAGACACGGACCAGACUCCUACGGGAGGCAGCAGUGAGGAAUAUUGGUCAAUGGGCGCAAGCCUGAACCAGCCAUCCCGCGUGAAGGAAGACUGCCCUAUGGGUUGUAAACUUCUCUUCUGCACCAAGAAUGGUUACUACGUGUAGUGAUUUGACGGUAGUGCAGGAAUAAGCAUCGGCUAACUCCGUGCCAGCAGCCGCGGUAAUACGGAGGAUGCAAGCGUUAUCCGGAUUCAUUGGGUUUAAAGGGUACGUAGUGGCCAUUAAGUCAGUGGUGAAAUCCUGCCGCUUAACGGUAGAACUGCCAUUGAAACUGGUUGGCUUGAGUACAGUUG